rnacentral:rRNA from 1 species
UACGUAGGGUGCAAGCGUUGUCCGGAAUUAUUGGGCGUAAAGAGCUUGUAGGCGGUUUGUCGCGUCUGCUGUGAAAUUUCGGGGCUCAACCCCGAACUUGCAGUGGGUACGGGGCAGACUAGAGUGUGGUAGGGGGAGACUGGAAUUCCUGGUGUAGCGGUGAAAUGCGCAGAUAUCAGGAGGAACACCGAUGGCGAAGGCAGGUCUCUGGGCCAUAACUGACGCUGAGAAGCGAAAAGCAUGGGGGAGCGAACAGG